GGGCUAUUAGCGCAGGCAGGUAGCGCAUCCGGCUCUUAACCGGCAGGUCGGGGGUUCGAUUCCCUCAUAGCCCGC
rnacentral:tRNA from 1 species